GACGAACGCUGGCGGCGUGCUUAGCACAUGCAAGUCGAACGGAAAGGCCCCCAUCUUGGUGGGGGUGCUCGAGUGGCGAACGGGUGAGUAACACGUGGGUGAUCUGCCCUGUACUUCGGGAUAAGCUUGGGAAACUGGGUCUAAUACCGGAUAGGACCAUGGUUUAGUGUCUCAUGGUGGAAAGAUUAUUGUUUUGGUGCAGGAUGAGCUCGCGGCCUAUCAGCUUGUUGGUGGGGUAAUGGCCUACCAAGGCGUCGACGGGUAGCCGGCCUGAGAGGGUGGACGGCCACAUUGGGACUGAGAUACGGCCCAGACUCCUACGGGAGGCAGCAGUGGGGAAUAUUGCACAAUGGGCGCAAGCCUGAUGCAGCGACGCCGCGUGGGGGAUGACGGCCUUCGGGUUGUAAACUCCUUUCGUUAGGGACGAAGCCACGCUUGUUGGGUGUGGUGACGGUACCUUUGUUAAGAAGCACCGGCUAACUACGUG
rnacentral:rRNA from 1 species